rnacentral:rRNA from 1 species
CAGCAGCCGCGGUAAUACGUAGGGGGCAAGCGUUAUCCGGAAUUACUGGGUGUAAAGGGAGCGUAGACGGUUAAACAAGUCUGAAGUGAAAUGCCGGGGCUCAACCCCGGAGCUGCUUUGGGAACUGUAGAACUGGAGUGUCGGAGGGGUAAGCGGAAUUCCCAGUGUAGCGGUGAAAUGCGUAGAUAUUGGGAGGAACACCGGCGGCGAAGGCGGCUUACUGGACGACAACUGACGUUGAGGCUCGAAGGCGUGGGUAGCAAACAGGAUUAGAUACCCCAGUAGUCCCUGUCUCUUAUAC